UACGGGGGAUGCAAGCGUUAUCCGGAUUUAUUGGGUUUAAAGGGUGCGCAGGCUGAUCGGUAAGUCAUGGGUGAAAAGUCACUGCUUAACAGUGAUCGUGCCUAUGAUACUGCCGGACUAGAGUUUAAGAGGUGUAACUGGAAUGUGAUGUGUAGCGGUGAAAUGCUUAGAUAUGUCACAGAACGCCAAUCGUGAAGACAGGUUACAAACUUAAUACUGACGCUCAUGCACGAAAGCGUGGGGAUCAAACAGGAUUAGAUACCCUGGUAGUCCACGCUGUAAACGAUGAUCACUCGUUGUUGGGUAGUAAUACUCAGUGGCUAAGCGAAAGCGAUAAGUGAUCCACCUGGGGAGUACGAUCGCAAGGUUGAA
rnacentral:rRNA from 1 species